ACUACUCUUAUGAUCACUUGACAUUGUUCUGUUCUGCUGCAUGUGCCUGCACCCUGCAGUUCGUCUGAAUCUGAAUAAGUAGAAGUUAGUAGUAGUAUGUGAUUCAGGUAUUGAAACCAAUUGCCAAUUUGCCAUGCAUCAUCAGGAAACUAUUUAAAUCACUCAUCUCUCUCACUCUGUGUGUCGUGUGAUUUGUUGCGUUGCAGUCGGACAAGCUCGACUACGAGAGGAUAUGAUAGUCGGCGCCCGGCGGCCUCUCGCAGUCGCAGGAGACCGUAGCAUGCACGCGCCACCGCCAAGCCAUGCAUGUUUCCUGUCCUUUCCUUGGGGUCAGGACACGGUGUUGUACACAGAUGACAAUGCCAACACACAGUGAUCAGGCAAUUCUGCCACCUCGGCUGAAAUAAGGAAGACAUCGAAAGCC
rnacentral:lncRNA from 1 species